UCGACUCGUGACUCGACUCGUGACUCGACUCGUGACUCGACUCGUGACUCGACUCGUGACUCGACUCGUGACUCGACUCGUGACUCGACUCGUG